rnacentral:rRNA from 1 species
GACGAACGCUGGCGGCGCGCUUAACACAUGCAAGUCGAACGAGGAGCCGGAGCUUGCUCCGGUGGAAAGUGGCGAACGGGUGCGGAACACAUGAGAAACCUGCCUGAAAGACUGGGAUAACUCCGGGAAAUCGGAGCUAAUACCGGAUACCUUCACAACACCGCAUGGUGAGGUGAAGAAAUGAACUUCGCUUUCAGAUGGUCUCGUGUCCUAUCAGCUUGUUGGUGGGGUAACGGCCUACCAAGGCUUCGACGGGUACCUGGUCUGAGAGGAUGUCCAGGCACACUGGGACUGAGAUACGGCCCAGACUCCUACGGGAGGCAGCAGUGGGGAAUCUUGCACAAUGGGCGAAAGCCUGAUGCAGCGACGCCGCGUGUGGGAUGAAGGCCCUCGGGUUGUAAACCACUUUCAGUAGGGACGAUGGUGACGGUACCUACAGAAGAAGCCCCGGCCAACUACGUGCCAGCAGCCGCCGUAA